AGCGCAUCUGCUUCACGCCGU
rnacentral:siRNA from 1 species